rnacentral:rRNA from 1 species
GUGGGGAAUAUUGGGCAAUGGGGGAAACCCUGACCCAGCAACGCCGCGUGAAGGAAGAAGGUUUUCGGAUCGUAAACUUCUAUCCUUGGUGAAGAUAAUGACGGUAGCCAAGAAGGAAGCCCCGGCUAACUACGUGACAGCAGCCGCGGUAAUACGUAGGGGGCAAGCGUUGUCCGGAAUGAUUGGGCGUAAAGGGCGCGUAGGCGGCCUGGUAAGUCUGGAGUGAAAGUCCUGCUUUUAAGGUGGGAAUUGCUUUGGAUACUGUCGGGCUUGAGUGCAGGAGAGGUAAGUGGAAUUCCCGGUGUAGCGGUGAACUGCGUAGAGAUCGGGAGGAACACCAGUGGCGAAGGCGACUUACUGGACUGUAACUGACGCUGAGGCGCGAAAGUGUGGGGAGCAAACAGGAUUAGAAACCCGGGUAGUCC